AUACGUAGGGGGCGAGCGUUGUCCGGAAUGAUUGGGCGUAAAGGGCGCGUAGGCGGCCCGGUAAGUCUGGAGUGAAAGUCCUGUUUUUAAGAUGGGAAUUGCUUUGGAUACUGUCGGGCUUGAGUGCAGGAGAGGUAAGUGGAAUUCCCAGUGUAGCGGUGAAAUGCGUAGAGAUUGGGAGGAACACCAGUCGCGAAGGCGACUUACUGGACUGUAACUGACGCUGAGGCGCGAAAGUGUGGGGAGCAAACAGGAUUAGAUACCCUGGUAGUCCACACUGUAAACGAUGAAUGCUAGGUGUAGGGGGUAUCGACCCCUUCUGUGCCGCAGUCAACACAAUAAGCAUUCCGCCUGGGGAGUACGGCCGCAAGGUUGAAACUCAAAUGAAUUGACGGGG
rnacentral:rRNA from 1 species